CACCGCGGUUAUACGAGAGGCCCAAGUUGACAAAUACCGGCGUAAAAUGUGGUUAACAUGAUGAUGCACUAAAGCUAAACAUCUUCAGAGCUGUUAUACCCUUAUGAAGACAGGAAGCACUUCUACGAAAGUGGCUUUAAACAAUGCUAUCCACGAAAGCUAGGAAA
rnacentral:rRNA from 1 species